rnacentral:lncRNA from 1 species
GGUGGGGUCGUGGGGCUCUGUAUCUAUCUAGUACGGAGUACCACUGUAUUCCAAGCAAUUUACUCUCUUGACUGCUGUUGGACUUUCUCUGUCCCCGCUUCCAUUGUGCUGCCUUGAACAGAUCCAUCCACCUUGUUGCUAAUCUCAUCCAACCUCCGGGUAUGUUUCUUGUCGAUUUGUUUCCAGUAAACUAGCAAUGCUUGGGUCUAAAAAGUCAUUGCUUCUCCUGCUUGACGAGUCUUAUUGAUUUGCCCAGUCAUUAUUCAGAGCACCAUGCAUCCAAGGCGCUGACCCGGCUAUAAGUUCUUAUAAGUUUUUAUUACAGGGCCGCCGUGUUGUCCCCAUCGAGCAAAGCGUUUAAUCCACUGACCCGCUUCGUUGUCCGCACAGCGCGACCAUCCGACGAAGACGCCGCCGUUGUGUUCUGCUCUCCUCUGAAGCAUCAAAAGGU